rnacentral:tRNA from 1 species
GCGCCCGUAGCUCAGCUGGAUAGAGCGUCAGGCUUCGAACCUGCAGGUCCCCCGUUCGAGUCGGGGCGGGCGCG